rnacentral:rRNA from 1 species
AACUCAAAUGAAUUGACGGGGGAGCACCACAACGGGUGGAGCUUGCGGUUUAAUUGGAUUCAACGCCGGAAAUCUUACCGGGACCGACAGCAAUAUGAAGGCCAGGCUGAAGACUUUGCCGGAUUAGCUGAGAGGUGGUGCAUGGCCGUCGUCAGUUCGUACUGUGAAGCAUCCUGUUAAGUCAGGCAACGAGCGAGACCCACGCCCACAGUUGCCAGCGUACUCUCUGGAGUGACGGGUACACUGUGGGGACCGCCGCUGCUAAAGCGGAGGAAGGAAUGGGCAACGGUAGGUCAGUAUGCCCCGAAUAUCCCGGGCUACACGCGAGCUACAAUGGUUGGUACAAUGGGUAUCUACCCCGAAAGGGGACGGGAAUCUCCUAAAACCAAUCUUAGUUCGGAUUGAGGGCUGCAACUCGCCCUCAUGAAGCUGGAAUCCGUAGUAAUCGCGUUUCAACAGAACGCGGUGAAUACGUCCCUGCUCCUU